AGACCAAGGGUUCCUGUCCAACGUUAAUCGGGGCAGGGUAAGUCGACCCCUAAGGCGAGGCCGAAAGGCGUAGUCGAUGGGAAACGGGUUAAUAUUCCCGUACUUCUUACAAUUGCGAUGGGGGGACGGAGAAGGCUAGGUGGGCCUGGCGACGGUUGUCCAGGUUCAAGUGCGUAGGCUUAAGAGUUAGGUAAAUCCGGCUCUUUUUAAGGCUGAGACACGACGUCGAGCUACUACGGUAGUGAAGUCAUUGAUGCCAUGCUUCCAGGAAAAGCCUCUAAGCUUC
rnacentral:rRNA from 1 species